GCGGCACGCCUAAUACAUGCAAGUCGAACGAAGUAGCAAUACUUAGUGGCAGACGGGUGAGUAACAUGUAGGUAUCUUCCCUAUGGUGAGGAAUAACACGAGGAAACUUGUGCUAAUACCUCAUAAGUCUUUACGGAGAAAGCUUUAUGCGCCAUUGGAUGAGCCUGCACUUGAUUAGUUUGUUGGUGGGGUAAUGGCCUACCAAGACAAUGAUCAAUAGCUGAUUUGAGAGGAUGAUCAGCCACAUUGGGACUGAGACACGGCCCAAACUCCUACGGGAGGCAGCAGUAGGGAAUCUUGCACAAUGGGGGAAACCCUGAUGCAGCGAUGCCGCGUGAGUGAAGAAGGCCUUUGGGUUGUAAAGCUCUUUCGUCGGGGAAGAAAAUGACUGUACCCGAAUAAGAAGGUCCGGCUAACUUCGUGCCAGCAGCCGCGGUAAUACGAAGGGACCUAGCGUAGUUCGGAAUUACUGGGCUUAAAGAGUUCGUAGGUGGUUAAAAAAGUUGGUGGUGAAAUCCCAGAGCUUAACUCUGGAACUGCCAUCAAAACUUUUUAGCUAGAGUAUGAUAGAGGAAAGCAGAAUUUCUAGUGUAGAGGUGAAAUUCGUAGAUAUUAGAAAGAAUACCAAUUGCGAAGGCAGCUUUCUGGAUCAUUACUGACACUGAGGAACGAAAGCAUGGGUAGCGAAGAGGAUUAGAUACCCUCGUAGUCCAUGCCGUAAACGAUGUGUGUUAGACGUUGGAAAUUUAUUUUCAGUGUCGCAGCGAAAGCAAUAAACACACCGCCUGGGGAGUACGACCGC
rnacentral:rRNA from 1 species